CCUCGAUCGUUACUUUGGGUAACGUAAUCGGUAAAUAUUGACUUUUAUUGUGCGGAAAGAAUAACGUAGUUGUGGAAAGAAUAAAGUAAAACGAUAACCAUCAGUAGUUACUACUGCUCUUCAUCGCGCGUUGCGUUGGGCAAUAAAGUGUGUUAUUCAUUAAAACGAUAAAUUUCUCAUUAAAAUGUCCCAAGUGUGGAAGGGCUCUCUUGAUGAACUGUAUAACUGACAUACGCAUAAAAGGAUGGUUUAAUUUAAAAUGCGAUUUAAUUGAAUUCAAUAAGGGGCGAGUUUCAAAGGUGAACCAAGCAUACCACUUCGGAUGUAUAAUCAAAUAUACAUGCUUCGGUGCUUGUUUAAACAAUGUUUCUGUAGAAAGUAAAACCGCAUGGUAGAGUGGUAUUUUCGCCCAAAACACAUCGGGGUCAGCGGAUUUUUGUAUCCAAAAGCGAUAGCAAUGCGCUUGCAGAAUUCUCGAAGCCACGAAUCGGAUCGGAGCAAGUAAUUAAACUUUAUAGUAACUUCAAAUCAUUCAACUUAAUUUUUCCAUUACCAAAAGUUCAUUGAAAUAUGAAAUAAUUUUUCAUAAUUUUGUCUGCCGGAGUUUUCCAACUUCGGCUCCAGCUCCGGCAAAAUAUGCCGGAUCUCCGCCUCCGGUACUCCGGCGCACAGCUCUAAACGUGAUUUUUAGCAGUCAAAAGAACACGUGUAAAAUUGCACUCAAAACGGAAGAGUAAACAUCACGAAAAAAAUCGCCGAUGCUUUUGUUAAAAUCGACUUAAAACGUCCAAAUGAUGGGUGGACGGGCCUCUAGCUAAGCCCAUGUUGAUGUCAACAAUCCCCAGUGGUGUCAGGUAACGAAGUAAAGUUACUUCGUUACUGUACUUGAGUACUAUUUUUGAGAAGUCAGCAUGUAACAAAGUAAACUGUUUCUGGAGUACUUUUACUUGGAACGAAGUCGUUUUAAGAAGUAACGUUUUACUUCGUUAUUUUCAUUUUGUGGAAAAGUAUUUCGUUACUUUCUAACUUUUAUUUAAUUUUACAUGAUUUAUUUUAAUUUUGGGAUAGGUACAUGGGUCUGGGAUCUCUCGUUUGUGGCUUACGUAUAAGUAUUAUUUAUUUAAUGGAUUUCUUAUAUCUUCAACGCGGGGUCUGGAAAGUAGACCAUGCCGUGAAAUAUUGCUUAUUUAUAAUGCGUGUGCUGUUUUGUGUUGUUU